AGUCUGCAACCCGACUACAUGAAGCUGGAAUCGCUAGUAAUCGCGAAUCAGAAUGUCGCGGUGAAUACGUUCCCGGGUCUUGUACACACCGCCCGUCACACCAUGGGAGUCGGAAAUGCCCGAAGUCAGUGACCUAACCGAAAGGGAGGAGCUGCCGAAGGUGGAGCCGGUAACUGGGGUGAAGUCGUAACAAGGUAGC
rnacentral:rRNA from 1 species